CUUCUAGCUGGUGAUAGAGCGGGACCUUCUUCCUCCUUCGCUCCUGGUUCUCAACAGGACUAGAAUUUUCGGAUCCCUCUGAAACCAAACUCCAUUUUGCAUUUAAUCGAAGCUCUGUUUUUCCUUCCUCCACAGAGUUUGUUGAAUUAAUAACUACAUUUGUACAGUAAUUCCUAUUUAGCUAGGUACCUCUAAUAUUUAUAAAUAUUUGUAAACAUCCGCAAUUACUAUAGGAGUGUUAUGUAUGUAACAAUAACAAUAAUUACUUGUAAACUCUAUUUUGAUAAAUUUGAAUCUAUGGUUGAAAUUAUGAGUUGAAUA